rnacentral:rRNA from 1 species
AACGAACGCUGGCGGCAGGCCUAACACAUGCAAGUCGAACGCCCCGCAAGGGAGUGGCAGACGGGUGAGUAACACGUGGGAACAUACCCUUCGGUUCGGAAUAACUCAGGGAAACUUGAGCUAAGACCGGAUACGUCCGCGAGGAGAAAGAUUCAUCGCCGGAGGAUUGGCCCGCGUCCGAUUAGCUAGUUGGUGAGGUAACGGCUCACCAAGGCGACGAUCGGUAGCUGGUCUGAGAGGAUGAUCAGCCACAUUGGGACUGAGACACGGCCCAAACUCCUACGGGAGGCAGCAGUGGGGAAUAUUGGACAAUGGGCGAAAGCCUGAUCCAGCCAUGCCGCGUGAGUGAUGAAGGCCCUAGGGUUGUAAAGCUCUUUCGUCAGGGACGAUAAUGACGGUACCUGAAGAAGAAGCCCCGGCUAACUUCGUGCCAGCCGCCGCUGUAAC